AGCGAACGCUGGCGGCAGGCUUAACACAUGCAAGUCGAGCGGGCACCUUUCGGGGUGUCCGCGGCGGACGGGUGAGUAACGCGUGGGAACGUGCCCUCUGGUUCGGAAUAACUCAGGGAAACUUGAGCUAAUACCGGAUACGCCCUUUUGGGGAAAGGCUUGCUGCCGGAGGAUCGGCCCGCGUCUGAUUAGCUAGUUGGUGAGGUAACGGCUCACCAAGGCGACGAUCAGUAGCUGGUCUGAGAGGAUGAUCAGCCACACUGGGACUGAGACACGGCCCAGACUCCUACGGGAAGCAGCAGUGGGGAAUAUUGGACAAGGGGCGCAAGCCUGAUCCAGCCAUGCCGCGUGAGUGAUGAAGGCCUUAGGGUUGUAAAGCUCUUUUAUCCGGGACGAUAAUGACGGUACCGGAGGAAUAAGCCCCGGCUAACUUCGUG
rnacentral:rRNA from 1 species